CUGAAAACCCUCAUGGGAAUCCCUCACCCUAAGGAAGAGCGAGGCUAUUAAGUUCAGGCCAGUACCAGUGUCUUGAUGAUCAGCAGGGAGAAGAGAAUCUGAAUACUGCCCCUUAUCCUCACAUGAGCUCUUCCCGUACUCAUAUCUGGAUCCAGGGGAAAUAAGAUACUAGUCUCAUUGCCUCUGCCACACAUGUGGCUUGGCAUUGUGAUUUAUGAGCAUGCUGUCUCUGUGGCUGGACUGUGAGCUCCUGCACCCCAGGCUCUGCAGAGUCCUGUGCAGUGGCGAGCCCAUUGCAGGGGCUCGAGACAUAUCUGGUGACCAUCCGACAGAGUGAAUGAAUGGAGUCCCGUUGCAACAGGCUCUUCUGUGCACUGAGAUGUGGAAUCCCCUGGAAUCCUCCCACUGGAGGCAUAGGGACCGACUGGGAAAAGGCUCAGCUGUCUGCUAGCACCAUGGGCCAGCAAAGGAACCCCUUGCAGAAGGAAAGAGGGCUGCAGCAGCACCUGAGUUUAAUGAUGUGGCUUUGGAGAAACCCCAAAGAGGUCUGCUCUGUGUUAUAUGUGGCUAUUGUGCUGAUUUUUACUUCCACUCUGCUGUAAUUAUCUUCAGGCACCCAUCCAUCUAUUGCCUUAAAGAUACGAAUACAAACUUCUGGAUUUUUUACAGCAUCUCCAGUCCUACAGUCUUUCUGUUUUUGUUUUUGUUAUUUCCCCCCUGAAAUGUUGGCUGUGUUUUCAGAAAAUUUUUGUUAGGGAAGACAUGAUGUUUGGAACACAUGUAGGAGACUGACUGAGAUUUGUGUGUGCUUGUGUCUAUAAGAUCAAUGCCAGCUUCCAGAAGGAUAGCUCUCACGGGGCCAGCCACACUUUCUACUUGUGAACUGCACGAGGCUUAGCAAUGGUACACAGUAAAAUAGAUGUGAAGUAUAGAAUAGACUCACAGAUCUUGCUAAUGGAGUAGAGUCACUAUGAACCAGAAAAGGCUUAUUGCUGCUAGAAAUCAUGCAGUUAUAAGGAAUCUAAAGUCAAACAGUUGUGCAAUGUUAGGGUAAAACCAACUAUACCUUCUCAAUGGGAGAAUAUAGCAAAUGAGUGGCCCUGUUUUCUGUAGAUUUAGGAAAUCACUAAUAAGGCAUGAGGCCUAUAAGAGUUUUAACAGUAUAUUAACUUUAUAGAGGAAUCCAAUGCCAAAACUGUUAAAAGGAAAUAUUGACAUGACUAUGGAUUGCCUUUCUUUACCCAACAUUUUCCUCUAGCAAUCUUUCAAAGCUUCAUGAGUAUGUUAGCUAUUUUUUUUUUAAACUACAUUUAACAAAUGAAGACACUAAAAUAGGAAGAGUUUAGAAUUCAAGUUCCAGUUUUGGAUGGUUUUCAAAACAUGUUCUCUUAGAUGAUCUCAUUAAAUUAUAACAAUCCUGUAAGAUGAUGCUAUUAGGAUUAGUUCUGUUGAGGUAGAAAAAGAUUGGAAGAAGCUGGAAGCUAGACACUCAUUGCUCCUUACCUCUGUCCCUAGAAACGUGCGCUGAGGCCAAAGCAAAGGCUAAUCCAAAGCCUUUGUUAGCACAAGGCUUUUGCCCCUUGAAUCCUAGCACGUGUCUGGGGGCCUGGGGGCACUGCCUGGAGGACUCCUGUGAGAAGUGGGCCAAGGUCCGUCCUUGCUGCUUGCCUCUAAGCUGCACUUCAUUCUCAGCCCUCUGUUUUCCUCCUCUGAGUCCAAGGAGAGGAUGGGUCCAAGAAAAGAUGAGACAAGAAAAGGAUGGAAAAGGAGAUUCUUUCUAAGCCUCGAGCAGGCCUGGCUUAUUUUACCUCAUUAGAGCAGAACAGCUACUAGACUGGAGUAGCUCAGGACCUGUCUGAGUUACUGGCCCUGAGGGCUUAGCGAUUCAAAGUGAUCACAGGUCUUUAGAGGGUGAGACCCUACUUCUCACCACUCAGUUUAGGAACGAGUCCUUGGUUCAUCCAUAUCAGCUGGCAUUCUCCUUAGGGAAUAGAAAGGAGGGGAUGCAGGAAGAAUGUAAGGUAGACUUGAGCUCCCUCACAGAUUAAUAAUUAUUCCUAUAUCAUAGUUGAAGACACUAAGACUCUGAAGUUUAAGUGGCUUGUUCCAAGUCACAGAGCUGGGCAGGGGUAAGCCACAAACCUGGGUCUUCUCUCUCCAAGCUCAAUACAACAAUCGCAUCCGUUCUGGCCUUCUGUCUGGCCCACAGAACUGCAUUGCCUGUUCUUCCACUCCCCACUUCCUGCUGAGUUUGGGCACAUUGAGCAGACUGGGCCAUUGCCACUAAAGAGCUGUGAAAUGGAAUGCAGGGAAUAUAUAUGAGUCUAUAGUGAGUGUAGUUUCUCAUGUGCAGAGGAAGGAAAGGAUCUGAUACAUGAAGAAAGAUUUAAAGGAGCUAAAUAGGUGGAACCGGGAUACUUAAUAACUACGAGGCAUAUGAUUAUCAGGCUGCAAAUAUUUGAAGGAUAGAAACACCUGAAAAGUUGAACUAUUUAGCAUGGAAUAUAGGAUAUAAUGAAUGAAUGAAUAAUGGGAAGUCGAAACAGGUAGCAUGUGUGGCAUGAAUACACUGGACAAAGGGAUGAGUCACAUCCUGGGCAGGACAGAGCGGAACGGCGUGAGAUUUCAUUAUGCUACUCAGAAUGGUGUGCAAUUUAAAAGUCAUGAAUUGUUUAUUUCUGGAAAUUUUCAUUUCAUAUUUUCA